CAGUAGCCACGGUAAUACGGAGGGUGCAAGCGUUAAUCGGAAUUACUGGGCGUAAAGCGCACGCAGGCGGUUUGUUAAGUCAGAUGUGAAAUCCCCGAGCUUAACUUGGGAACUGCAUUUGAAACUGGCAAGCUAGAGUCUUGUAGAGGGGGGUAGAAUUCCAGGUGUAGCGGUGAAAUGCGUAGAGAUCUGGAGGAAUACCGGUGGCGAAGGCGGCUCCCUGGACGAAGACUGACGCUCAGGUACGAAAGCGUGGGGAGCAAACAGGAUUAGAUACCCCGGUAGUCCCUGUCUCUUAUAC
rnacentral:rRNA from 1 species